rnacentral:sRNA from 1 species
CAAAGUUAAAGAUGCUGUGCAGGCAGUAAAGAGGGAUAUAUUGAACACAGUUGCUGAUCGUUGUGAAAUACUAUUUGAGGAUCUGCUUUUGAAUGAAAUUCCAGAAAAAAAAGAUUCUGAAAAAGAGUUCCACGUCCUCCCUUAUCGAGUCUUUGUUCCCCUUCCUGGAUCCACUGUAAUGUUGUGUGAUUAUAAAUUUGACGAUGAGUCAGCUGAAGAAAUCAGGGACCAUUUUAUGGAGAUGUUGGAUCACACAAUUAAAAUAGAAGAUUUGGAAAUUGCAGAGGAAACAAACACAGUCUAGUAUAGAGAUGGAUUAACAGUAGGAAGAGUUUAAUAUUACAAGAACAAAGGAAGCAAAACAGCAAUUUGGAAAGUUUAG